GGUUAUGGCUCAGCGGUAGAGCGUUUGCUUCCUAUGUGGGAGGCCUUGGGUUCGAUCCUCAGCACCA
rnacentral:tRNA from 1 species